rnacentral:lncRNA from 1 species
AUAUUGCAAAAAUAUAUUUAUUUUUUUAUAUAAAUGUUAAUAAUAUAACAGAUAAUAUAUUAAAAAAAGGUACUAUUCUAAAUUUUGAUUUUAGUUAUGACUCCAAAGAAUAUUUUACAUUUUUACAAUUCAUAUUAAACUUAAAUAUAAUAAUAAAUAAAAAAUAUAUUAAUAUUUUUGAACAAAAUAUUAUCUAUUAUAAACAGAUCUUUUUUGCUAUGUUUUUUUUAUGUUCUCCUAAACGAACAAAAACAAAGUGAAAACAUUUCUUUUAACUAUGACAUUAUUAACGAACUUUUUAUUUUAUUCGAAGUUUUUGGUAAUUUGAAUAUGGUAAAGGACAUACAAAAUAAUAAAAAAGAAGAUAAAAAAUCUGAGUUACAAAAAAUAACUAAGACUAAUUUGGUGGAUAAUGAAAAAAAAUGCAAAGACUUUUUUUUACAAUAUAUACAGAAAUUAAUCGAGUCCACACACAAUGACAAUUUUAUGUUACAAAAACAUAUGUUGUUAUCAUUUUUAUCUCAAUUUUUUAAUUUUAAAACGAGCAAAAAUUUAUUAUCUGAUAUAAAUCAUAUUUUACAAAUACCAACUACGAAUGUAACUAUUAACCAUUUGAUUAGACAUAUACAAACAAACUUCAAAUUAGUAUAUAAUAUACAACAACCAAAUAAAAUAACCCAGUUAUUCAAAAAUGCUUACCAAAUAAAAAUAUUAAACAAAUGUUUUAUUAAUAAACAACUUAUUAUAAACAAAUAUGAAAAAUUAAACAUAUUCAAAAUAAUAUUAUUAUUUUUUUAUGAAUUUUCUUCGUUUCGUUUUAUUAAGCCCUUUGUCAACGCUACGGCAAAAUUGAACUACCUGACGAAUGAAUAUAACAACUUCCUCUGCUCUGUCAAAGAAAUAAAAAAGGAUAUUUAUUUUUUUUUGAAAGCCGCAUACUAUGGUAAACCGCUAAAUAAGAAUCACUUACAAAUGGAGCAUAUUUUACUACUAUUCAAGGUAUGUAUAUAUGCAUUUAUCAGUGU